rnacentral:sRNA from 1 species
GCUGGGCACAGCGGUGCACGCCUGUAAUCUCAGCAGCUAGGGAGGCUGAGGCAGGAGGAUCAUGAAUUCAAAGCCAGCCUCAGCAACUGUAAGACACUAAGCAACUCAGUGAGACCCUGUCUCUA